GAUGAAGAACGUAGCGAAAUGCGAUAAGUAAUGUGAAUUGCAGAAUUCAGUGAAUCAUCGAAUCUUUGAACGCACAUUGCGCCCGCUAGUAUUCUGGCGGGCAUGCCUGUCCGAGCGUCAUUUCAACCCUCAAGCCCCCGGGCUUGGUGUUGGGGAUCGGCGAGCCUCCGCGCCCGCCGUCCCCUAAAUCUAGUGGCGGUCUCGCUGUAGCUUCCUCUGCGUAGUAGCACACCUCGCACUGGGAAACAGCGCGGCCACGCCGUAAAACCCCCAACUUCUGAACGUUUGACCUCGGAUCAGGUAGGAAUACCCGCUGAACUUAAGCAUAUCAAUAAGCGGAGGA
rnacentral:misc_RNA from 1 species